ensembl:lncRNA
GUUCUCACAGGGUGCACCGUGGUGGGUGGCCGCAGAAGCUGAUGGCCCAGUGGCUGCAACAUGCUUUGUUUUAUUGAUACAGCCGACAACAUUCUUUGAACACUGAGCAGACCCUCAAGAGAAAAUGAAGCACUUCUUAACCGCUGUGUCCCAGCCAUCAGUCAACAUUUUUCAUCCAGCUCUUCACUGCCCAAGAUCCACUCCACAAGACACUGAAGAUGCAGGAUGGAAUGUCAUCAUCGAUGUGAAGGGCUCCUGAAGAAAACCCAUUAGUCUAAACAGGAGGAUCAACGAGGGGAAAACUGUAUGGAGGGAGUGUUGCCGAGUGUGGACAGCUCACCUUCAUUGUGAUGCAUACAUCUGAUGUCUACAGGUCUUAGUUGCAGCAUGUGAAAUCUUAGUUGUGGCAUGUGGGAACUAGUUUCCGGAUUGGCGCUCGAACCCUGGGCACGCUGCAUUGGAGCAUGGAUGCAUUGGAGCAUGGAGUCUUAUCCACUGGACCACCAAGGAAGGUCCUGCUUUUCGAAUCUGUGUCUUCUGGGAUACAGUCCUAAAGAAACCCAAAUAAAC